GAAUUAGGGGCAGUGCCAGACCUGGGUGGGCUACUGACACCCAUGCCAGGGCCUGCUCAGCCCCUGCCCCCAGGCAGCACUCUCAGGCCAGCAGCUCCCGCACUGCCCUUUCCUGCCCUGCAGCCCCAUCCCCAGGGCUGUGUGCCAUGCCGGGCCUGGCAUACAGGGUCGGGGGGCAGCACUGGCCUUGCCCAGGCUCACCUGCCCCACUGCAGCUGCCACUUCCUCUAGGAGCAGGGACUCCUCUGCAUUCCCAACACACCAUCAGAGAACAAACCCCAUGGCUGGACCAGCUGAGACCUCCUGGCUCAUCCUCCCCUGAGGCUCUUCUCACACGAUCCUUCUGACCCAGGAGACAUGGGUUUGAGCCCUGGUCCGGGAAGAUCCCACAUGCCUUGGAGCAACUAAGACCGUGCACCACAACUACUAAGCCUGCGCUCUAGAGCCCAUGAGCCACAACUACUGAGCCUGUGUGCUGCAACUACUGAAGCCCGUGAGCCUAGAGCCCAGAGCCUGCACUCCGCAACAAGAGAAGCCACUGUAGUGAGAAGCCCAUGCACUGCAACGAAGAGUAGCCCCUGCCCACCACAACAAGAGAAAGCCUGCGCGCAGCAACGAAAACCCAAUGCGGCCAAAAAUAAACUAAUUAAUUAAUUAAUUUUAAAAAUAAAUAAAUAAGGGCUUUAGUAGGGGCUGAGAGAGGCCCCAGGGAUGGGAUACUGCCCUGAGUCCCAGCCCAAGAUGCACUCUCAAGAAAAAGGACAGUGCCCAUCGAGCAGCUGAAUCCAUCAUCGGCCCCACAUGUCCCCACCCCUGCACAACUCCCACCCAGGAUGGGAGGGGUCUUCCACCCACUUCUCAGAGGCAGAGAAUGAAGUUCUGGUUCCUGCUGAAUCCCAAGCCUGAGGGAGAUUCUCCCAGACUCCCUGGGACCAGAAACCCAGGCCCUUCGGGGCAGAAUGCAGGUACCCAAGAGAGGGCCCAUGAGAUGACAGUGAAGUCUGCACAUGCACACAUGGGCUGGAGACACCAAGACCCAGAGGUCCACGGAAACAGCCACCAUGCCUCAGGGCCACGGCAGCCGGGAAACCUGGUGCACAGAGCUUACUCAGUGUGGCAGGCCCCCAA